rnacentral:tRNA from 1 species
GCUUGGGUGGCUUAGUCGGUUAAGUAUCCGACUUCUGCUCAGAUCAUGAUCUCAUGGUUCGUGGGUUUGAGCCCCACAUCGGGCU